rnacentral:misc_RNA from 1 species
AAGUCGUAACAAGGUUUCCGUAGGUGAACCUGCGGAAGGAUCAUUAACACGUAUCCACGUAUCCACCCAAAGCGAAUUGGUUUUCAUUCUCCCUCUAUAGCAGUGAAGGAAUCGAGUCGACAGAGAAGUACGAGUGGGAUCCGCAAGGGUCUAUUCUCUGUUCACCAACUGAGGUUUCGGCCUCGACGAUUGUAUCACUGUGGAGGCUAAAUUUCUUUACUACUGAGGUUCCCAGCUCUGCAUUGGUAGUAAGGAGUCCCCUACUUAACCUAUCUCACCCCUUUUUGCUAGUUGACUUUUAUAUGUUGUUACUUGCGCUUUGCGCAUGGAGCACACGUUUAAUUAUUUGAACGUUAAAAAUACAACUCUUAGCAAUGGAUAUCUUGGUUCUC